rnacentral:rRNA from 1 species
UGCAAGUCGAGCGGACAGAAGGGAGCUUGCUCCCGGAUGUUAGCGGCGGACGGGUGAGUAACACGUGGGUAACCUGCCUGUAAGACUGGGAUAACUCCGGGAAACCGGAGCUAAUACCGGAUAGUUCCUUGAACCGCAUGGUUCAAGGAUGAAAGACGGUUUCGGCUGUCACUUACAGAUGGACCCGCGGCGCAUUAGCUAGUUGGUGAGGUAACGGCUCACCAAGGCAACGAUGCGUAGCCGACCUGAGAGGGUGAUCGGCCACACUGGGACUGAGACACGGCCCAGACUCCUACGGGAGGCAGCAGUAGGGAAUCUUCCGCAAUGGACGAAAGUCUGACGGAGCAACGCCGCGUGAGUGAUGAAGGUUUUCGGAUCGUAAAGCUCUGUUGUUAGGGAAGAACAAGUGCAAGAGUAACUGCUUGCACCUUGACGGUACCUAACCAGAAAGCCACGGCUAACUACGUGCCAGCAGCCGCGGUAAUACGUAGGUGGCAAGCGUUGUCCGGAAUUAUUGGGCGUAAAGGGCUCGCAGGCGGUUUCUUAAGUCUGAUGUGAAAGCCCCCGGCUCAACCGGGGAGGGUCAUUGGAAACUGGGAAACUUGAGUGCAGAAGAGGAGAGUGGAAUUCCACGUGUAGCGGUGAAAUGCGUAGAGAUGUGGAGGAACACCAGUGGCGAAGGCGACUCUCUGGUCUGUAACUGACGCUGAGGAGCGAAAGCGUGGGGAGCGAACAGGAUUAGAUACCCUGGUAGUCCACGCCGUAAACGAUGAGUGCUAAGUG